CCACUAUGCCAUCCAGGCCGAGCAGCACAUUAAACGGAAGAACGCCUCUAGUGCCAGGAACAAGACGCCAUGGGCUUCAACCGGAUCCAAGGGGUCUGAGAAGAACAAAUCCAUUGAAGUGGAAAACCGGUUCAAGAAGGGCCAAACCGACCAGUCCAAAUCAGGUUCAUCCGAACCAGGUAAGGGACAAACACAAGCUCAAAGAACUCGUGAUAUUACUUGUUUCAAAUGUCAGGGAAAGGGGCACUACGCUAGGGACUGUCCGAACAAGCGUGUCAUGAUCCUUAAGGCAGACGGCGAGUAUGAGUCCCAAGACGAGGCCGAUGUAGAGAUGGCCGACUCAGGAGACGAGAUAGUGGACUAUGCUGAGUCUGGUGAGCUACUGGUGGUCAGACGAGCUCUCAGUGCUCUCUUUGAUCCAGAGACCGUCCAACGAGAAAACAUCUUCCAUACUAGAUGUAGCGUGGAAGGCAAGGUAUGUAGUCUAAUUAUUGAUGGUGGCUCUUGCACUAACGUGGCCAGCAGGUACCUUGUUGAGAAGUUAGGACUAGCAAAGUUGCCACACCCCAGGCCGUACAAGCUCAAGUGGCUCAAUGAUGAGACGGAGCUUAAAAUCUCGGAGCAAGUUGUUGUUACCUUUUGUAUUGGUAAGUACCAGGACCAGGUGAAGUGUGAUGUGGUUCCUAUGCAAGCCGGCCAUCUACUGUUAGGGAGGCCUUGGCAGUUUGACAAGGAGACUAUUCACCAUGGGAGGACUAACAUCUACAGCUUUACCCACAACAACAAGAAGCACAGCCUGGCUCCUCUCAGUCCACAAGAGGUGUACGAGAUGCAGAGGGCCAUGGAUCAGUCUGGAUUGUUUAGUAAAACUAACCUUUACAUCUCUUCUAGUAAAUUGAUUAAAUCAUUGCAUCAAGACACACAGGUGCUACUAAUGGUUUUCAAGGAAGGUUGUUUUGCAGGUUUUGAGGCACCAGAUUGUCCAGCUGAGAUGCAAGGACUAAUGGACCAGUACAAGGACGUGUUCCCUGAAGAGAUACCAGCCGGCUUACCACCCCUCCGAGGCAUCGAACAUCAGAUAGACUUUGUGCCAGGCGCCCCACUUCCAAACCGAGCCGCAUACCGAGUCAAUCCGGAGGAGGCUAAGGAGCUGGAGAGACAGGUCCAAGACCUCAUGGACAAGGGAUACAUUCGAGAGAGUCUCAGCCCAUGUGCAGUACCCGUCCUAUUGGUGCCUAAGAAGGAUGGAACGUGGCGUAUGUGUGUUGAUUGCCGAGCCAUCAACAACAUCACCAUAAAAUAUCGGUACCCCAUUCCUAGACUUGAUGAUAUGUUAGAUGAAUUGAGUGGUUCCACCGUGUUUUCCAAGAUUGAUCUUAGGAGUGGCUAUCACCAAGUUCGGAUGAAGGAGGGAGACGAGUGGAAGACUGCUUUCAAGACCAAGCAAGGCUUGUAUGAGUGGCUGGUGAUGCCAUUUGGUCUUACCAACGCCCCUAGUACCUUCAUGAGGCUUAUGAACGAGGUUCUAAGGCCUUACAUUGGUAAAUUUGUGGUUGUCUAUUUUGAUGACAUAUUGAUCUAUAGUCAGUGCUUAUCCGAUCACAUUAGUCAUGUAGAACAGGUUUUGAAGGCUCUCAGGCAGGAAGGACUCUUUGCCAAUCUCAAGAAGUGUGUAUUUUGCACUGACCAGUUAAUAUUUUUAGGCUUUGUUGUGAGUUCACAGGGUUUGAAGGUCGAUGAGGAGAAGAUCAAGGCCAUCCAAGACUGGCCCACACCGACCACUAUUGGGCAAGUCCGAAGUUUCCAUGGCCUAGCCAGCUUCUAUAGGCGGUUUGUCAAGGACUUCAGCACCAUUGCCGCACCCAUGACCUCAGUAAUCAAGAAGAAUGUAUCCUUUGUUUGGGGCCCUGCCCAAGAGGAGUCUUUCAACAAGCUUAAAUAUAGUUUAACUCAUGCACCCGUUCUUACACUCCCUGAUUUUAAUAAAACUUUUGAGAUUGAGUGUGAUGCAUCAGGUACAGGCAUUGGAGCUGUCCUCACUCAGGGGGGCGACCAGUGGCAUUCUUUAGUGAAAAACUGAGUGGAGCUGCCCUCAACUACCCAACCUAUGACAAAGAGCUAUACGCUCUAGUAAGGUCCCUUGAAACUUGGCAGCAUUACCUAUUGUCUAAGGAAUUUGUUAUUCAUACAGAUCAUGAGACACUUAAGCACUUGAGGGGACAGACCACACUCAAGAAGAGGCACGCCAGAUGGCUCGAGUUCGUGGAGACCUUUCCCUAUGUGAUCAAGUACAAGAAGGGCAAGGACAAUGUGGUGGCCGAUGCACUGUCCCGGAGACACACUCUCAUUGUGACCAUGGAGGCCAAGAUCAUGGGUUUCGAGCAUAUUAAAGAAUCUUAUGCCACUGAUCUUGAUUUUAAUGAAGUUUUCAGGAACACUGAGAAGGGGGCUUUUGGGCAUACUACCAGCACGAGGGGUUCCUGUUCAAGGGAAAGAGGCU
rnacentral:lncRNA from 1 species